AGAACUGGACACCUCGGGGGUUUCCUGCUUUAUGGCGAAGGGCCAGGGCCCCACACCUUCCGCCUGACAGCCAGCCAAGCUCUUCAGUCCCCCGCCCUCCACCUGCCAGGGAGGCUCCGGGCGUUGUACCUGCCACCACGGGGUAGGUCUGACACAUAUACUCACAGAAAUGAGUUAUUUAAAGAAGACGGUCCAGAUUCCACAGUCCAAAAAAAAAAGAGGUUUGCCCUGCUUCUGAAGGAGUCAGGGUAUGAAUGCAGAGGUCUUCCUGUUGGCUCACAUAUCAGAUCUUCAACGUCAACAUUAAAUGCGAGUGAUGCUUCCCCCUCUGUGAAUGUGGCUUUGGGUAUGGCUAAUCCACACCCUGCACUCUGGCCUUCAGAAGCCCAGGGAGAGAAGCCUCCCAGAAGCAACCUUCCAGAACCUUCUCCAUCCUCCCACCGACCUCCCCAGCCCCUGUCCUCUCUUUGAAUCUCGUUGUCAAGUUCUUCCCGCAGACACCUGGCUCCUUGAGGGGAGGUGCAGCUUUCAUCUGACCAUGCAGGCGUGCUUUGCAGUGGGUAGAGCAGUGCUUUCCUCCUCCCAGCUGCACACUGGAAUCACCUGGAGAGUCCAGAAACUUCCCGC
ensembl:lncRNA PAX8-AS1 PAX8 antisense RNA 1